ensembl:snoRNA SNORD83 Small nucleolar RNA SNORD83
GCCACAUGAAGUAGAUGGCAUUAGCACAACUGCAAAGAUGACCGUCCAUCUAUCACCCGAGACUGAUGGCU